GGCGUCGUGGCUGAGUGGUAAAGCGCUUGGCUUCCGAACCGGGGGUCCCGGGUUCAAAUCCUGGUGAAGACA
rnacentral:tRNA from 1 species